UACGUAGGGUGCAAGCGUUGUCCGGAAUUAUUGGGCGUAAAGGGCUCGUAGGCGGUCCAUCACGUCGGGAGUGAAAAGCUGGGGCUUAACCCCAGUCCUGCUUCCGAUACGGGUGGACUAGAGGUAGGCAGGGGAGAACGGAAUUCCUGGUGUAGCGGUGAAAUGCGCAGAUAUCAGGAGGAACACCGAUGGCGAAGGCAGGUCUCUGGGCAUUAACUGACGCUGAGAAGCGAAAGCAUGGGGAGCGAACAGG
rnacentral:rRNA from 1 species